UAUCAACAGACUGGAGAACUUGGAAGUAUUAUGAAUACAUGGAGGAUGCACUGAAAUGUAAACACUGGGUAGCCAUGCCAGAGUUUUGUAUGCUGAAGGUAAACUGAAGACACUUGAGCACUGACUUACAUGCUGUUAACUUGAUUCAGGCUAUAACAACAAAGAACAAUCAUCCAUACAAGUUCUUGGCUUGACAAGUGUCAGAAAUCCAGGAUGCAAGGGGGGUUUCAGCAAUACCCAAGGUAAAGAGGUGAGAUACCCAAGCUUACUUGAAUUCCUUGCUGAGUUUACAGUGUGAUAGACACUUCAUCCUCAAAGUUUCAUCUUC